CGCAGUAAUCGCAGAUCAGAAUGCUGCGGUGAAUACGUUCCCGGGUCUUGUACACACCGCCCGUCACACCAUGGGAGUCGGAAAUGCCCGAAGCCGGUGACCAAACCAAUAAGGAAGGAGCCGUCGAAGGCAGGUCUGAUAACUGGGGUGAAGUCGUAACAAGGUAUC
rnacentral:rRNA from 1 species